rnacentral:tRNA from 1 species
ACCUGGGUGGCUUAGUUGGUUAAGCAUCUGACUUCAGGUCAGGAUCUCCAGGUUCGUAGGUUCAAGCCCUGCUUUGGGCU